GACGAACGCUGGCGGCGUGCUUAACACAUGCAAGUCGAACGCUGAAGCUCAGCUUUUGUUGGGUGGAUGAGUGGCGAACGGGUGAGUAACACGUGAGUAACCUGCCCCCUUCUUUGGGACAACGCCCGGAAACGGGUGCUAAUACUGGAUAUUCACUGGUCUUCGCAUGGGGGUUGGUGGAAAGGGUUUUUCUGGUGGGGGAUGGGCUCGCGGCCUAUCAGCUUGUUGGUGGGGUGAUGGCCUACCAAGGCUUUGACGGGUAGCCGGCCUGAGAGGGUGACCGGUCACAUUGGGACUGAGAUACGGCCCAGACUCCUACGGGAGGCGGCAGUGGGGAAUAUUGCACAAUGGGCGCAAGCCUGAUGCAGCGACGCCGCGUGAGGGAUGGAGGCCUUCGGGUUGUGAACCUCUUUCGCUCAUGGUCAAGCCGCAACAAUGGUUGUGGUGAGGGUAGUGGGUAAAGAAGCGCCGGCUAACUACGUG
rnacentral:rRNA from 1 species